UCUUCAUUCUUUCCUUUUUGUUUGUCCUGAAAAUAUAGCAUAUGAUAAUAUUGUCAUCAUUGAAACUUAAACAUAAACUUUGGGUUUUAUAACAAGGGAAAAAGGAGAAACUGACAUUGUAAUGACGUGGUACUUUCUCAGCUGUUUAAAAAGUUAUGCAUGAGAGUACAAAGGAACUACUAACCUGUGUCAAGGGAAUCAGGUUCCCUGACUACUUUUGUAAAUGUGCGUCUCAUCCUUUUACCAAAAUGCAACACCAUUAGCUUCUUCUUUGCUCUAUAAUUGUCAUGCGUGUCUACCUGUAACGGUAUAGAAAUGAGUUAGAACGUGCCAAAAAACACUUUUAGCUAUUUUACCUGUUCGUUUCUUUCAUAGCCAAUCAUCAUGGGACCAGGUCCUCAACUUGAUUUUAUCAACCCCAGUGCCAAAUGAUUCUUUUCAAAAUGCUCUCUGCCCAGUGCUUCUGUAAAGAUAUCUGCAGUUUGAUCUUCUGUGCUGCAAAAAUUCAUGCAGAUAAGCCCUUUCUCAACAUUAUCUCUGAGAAAAUGAUGUCGCACAUCAAUAUACUUUGUUCUCUUAUGCUGAACUCGAUUCUUUGCCAUGUUGAGAGCACUGGUGUUGUCACAUAGUAAUGGCACACAAUCAGAGAACACACCAAAAUCUUCUAGCUUCUACUUGAUCCAUGGCAAUUGAGCACAACGAGAGGCAGCUGCCACAUACUCAGCUUCUGUAGUUGAAAGAGCCAGUGAGUUUUGUUUUCUUGUACCCCAUGAAAUUAGACACGAUCCCAGAAAGUGUGCCAUGCCUGAAGCACUUUUUCUAUCCCCUAGGUAACCAGCAUAAUCAGCGUCAGCAUACCUAAUCAAGUCAAAAUUGUCUCCUGGAGAUAGUAGAGAACCAGGUCUUGUGUUCCUUUGAGAUACCUCAGGAUUCUCUUGGCAGCCUUCAUAUGAGAUUCCUUGGAUUAGAUUGAAAUCUAGCAUAUAGACCCACACUGAAAUCGAGGUCUGGUCUGCUUGUUGUGAAAUACAAGAGUGACCCAAUGAUACCUCUAUACAUGGUCUCGUUAACAGGAAAACUAGGUUCAUCUAUGUCUAGACGAGUGGCAGUGGCAAUAGGAGUAUUAAUGAUUUUUGAACUUUCCAUAUCAAAUCUCUUUAGAAGCUUUUUCAUGUGCUUUUGCUGACUUAUCAUUAUGCCCUUUGGAGUUUGCUUAACUUGCAGACUUAUGAAGAAAUUCAAUUCCCCCAUCAUGCGCAUCUCGAACUCACUUCCCAUAAGCUUUGCAAACUCUUCACACAGGGAAUAAUUUGUUGCACCAAAGAUGAUGUCGUCAAUAUAGACUUGCACAAUGAGCAUGUUCCUCCCCUGUUUCUUUAGAAAUAAGGUGUUGUCAAUUUUUCUUGUUGUAAAUCCAUUUUCAAGGAGGAAUUUGGACAACCUUUCAUACCAUGCACGAGGAGCUUGCUUUAGCCCAUAUAAAGCCUUGUCAGGUUUGAAUACAUGCUUAGAAUGCUUAUGACAUUCAAAGCCAGGUGGUUGUUUGACGAAGACUUCUUAUUUUAGAUAUACAUUUAGAAAUGCACUUUUGACAUCCAUUUGGAAUAAUUUGAAUUCCAUAUGAGAUGCAAAGGCAAUGAGGAUUCUGAUGGCUUCUAUUCGAGCAGUUGGAGCAAAAGUUUUGUCAUAGUCGAUCCCUUCUUCUUGAUUGUAGCCUUGAACUACUAACCUUGUCUUUUCUUUCUUGUGUUGCCAAACUCAUCUAGUUUAUUUUUGAACACCCACUUAGUUCCUAUAAUAGUUCUGUCAGCAGGUCAAGGAACCAGAUGCCAUACGAUAUUCCUCUCAAAUUGAUGAAGUUCAUCUAGUAUAGUAGUAAUCCAGUCGGCAUCUUUCAAUGCUUUUUUGAUAUUUUUUGACUCAAUUUGAGAAAGAAAGGUUGAGAAGGCAAGUGAGUUUGUUAACUUUGACCUAGUUUGAAUCCCCGAGGCAAGAGGAGUGAUCACAUUCUGAAGAGGAUGUGAACUCUUAUGCUUCUAGUUAGACACCUGAAUCUCAUUGUGAGAAGAUCCAGGUUCUUCUAAAUGUGAUUCAUUAUUAACAUGAGUUUUACUUCUCAGAUCAGCAUCUAGGUUCCUUGCACAACAUCAACAACUCUAUUCUCUACUUUAGUUAUUAUGAUUCAGGUACCAGGUUCCUCUACAUCAACUGGAGAUUCAGCUGCACCAUUAUUAUUUGAUUCUUUGACCAGACUUAUCAUGUCAGCCUUUCUAUUUGCCAUAUCAAUAACUUCACCAGGAACAUUUGAUAGGUCUCCAUCUUGAUCAGCCUUAUCGUGUGAAUCUCUUCCAAAUAGGUGGUGUGAUUCAUCAACGAUCACAUGUAUGUUUUCCUCAACAUAUUGAGUUCAUUUGUUGUACACCUUGUAAGCUUUUCUUUGUAAUGAAUAGCCAAGAAAUUUUCCUUCAUCACUUUGGCAUCAAAUUUUUCUAGUGCUUCCUUACCAUUAUUGAGGACAGAACAUUUGCAGCCAAAUGUCCUUAAGUGUGUUAGCUUGGGUUUUCUCCCGUUCAGUAGUUCAUACAGGGUUUUGUCUAGGAAGGACCUAAUCAUGAACAUGUUCACCAAGUAGCAUGCAGUGUUAACUAACUUUGCACAAAAACUUUUUGCAAUCCACUGUCAUCAACAUUGUCCUAACCAUGUCUUCAAGAGUUCUAUUUUUUCUCUCUACAACACUAUUUUCUUGGGGUGUUCUUGGAGCUGAAAAAUUAUGACAUACUAUUUUCAGCAUAGAAUUCGUUGAACUUUGCAUUGUCGAACUUUGUGCCAUGAUCAGAUCUUAUACUCACAACAUUAUGACUCGUCUUUACUUGGAUCUUCUUUACAAAAGCAGCAAACACCAGGAAAAUCUCAUCUUUGGUUUUGAGGAACAAGGUCCAUGUGAAUCUGGAGUAGUCAUCUACUAUAAUGAAAAUGUAUUUCUUUCCUCUUCUACUUGGCACUCUCAUAGGUCCAUAUAGAUCCUUAUGGUGGAGAUCAAGUUGCGUGGAGGUUCUUACUUCCUUUUUGGGUUUGAAGGAGGACCUGAUUUGCUUUUCUUUUACACAUGUAUCCCACACCUUGUGAUCUUUGAAGAUUGACUUAGGUAGCCUACGAAUCAGGUCCUUCUUGACAAAUUUGUUCAGCAACGUAAAACUUGCAUGUCCCAACCUUCUGUGCCACAGUUCAGCAUCAUCAUCUACAGCACUCAGACACGUGAGAUCCCUAUUGUGCAAGAACUCAAAAUAAGCAACAUAAAUGUUUUUGUAUCCUUUUGCCAUCAGGACCACUUCACCAAUCACGAGGUUUGUGAAUGUGCAAAUUUUUAACAUAAAUUCCACCUUGUUUUUCUUUGUCACGGAUUUGAGAAACACUUAGUAAGCUAUACUUCAAGUAGCUCACAUAAUACACAUUUUCGAUUGAGUGAGUGGGAGAUUUCCCAAUUCUUCCUACUCCCAAAAUGUAUCCGUUUUUGCCAUUACCAAAGGACACACUACCUCCUUGCAAGGCUUUGAGUGAAAGAAAAUCAUUAGUGCUUCCAGUCAUAUGCUUAGAACAUCCACUAUCCAUAUACCAUCUUUGGUUGCUCCAUGCACAAGGAAAUUAAGUAUUAGACUUAGGAACCCAAAUAGGUUUGUGUCCAUUGUAGUGAGAAAAAGGGUGAAUCAAGGUUCUUUUUGUCCAAGCAGGCAUCACACGUUUUUUAUAUGAGGGACCAGGUUCUUUAGCAGUACUUACUUUUUCAGCAAAAACUUUAUUUUUUUGUUGGCACUGAAAUCUAGCUUUACAUGUUUCUUUAAAAUGCCCAGUGUUACCACAAUGAGUGCAAAGCCAGUUAUCAGGGACACUAACGUACUUGCUAUGAGGGUUGUAAGGAGUCUUUUCCCUUAAUUCCUGAUUCCCUGCCUGUUUCCCCUAUUGUUCUUAUGCAUAGUAGUGAUUGUAUCAGAGGACCAAUUCCACUUAAGAGAUUUUUAUAGGCCAUUCUUAACUCUGCCUAGAUCUUCUUGAAGUUGUUUGUUUCUAUCAAGUUCAGCACACAAACUAGAUUUCAAUGAUUUUAGCUCAUUUUCAAGCCUAAGGUGUACCUCGUUUGCAACUUCUUUUCCCUUUUGAGUGAUCUCAUGACUACCUUCCCUUUUUAGUUCCACAAUUGUUUCCUUUAGGUCCACAACUACUACUAAUAAGUCAUCUCUCUCAUGCUCUAUGUUUUCAACCUUUUCAGCUAAAGCAUAUUUUUCCUUUUUUAAACCAUCAAUGGUCUCUUUUAGAUCGACCACAACAACCAGUAGAUCAUCUCUCUCAAUUUCUACUUCUCCUAGUUCCACAGUUAGCAUAUUCUUAUCAUUAAUGAGAUUGUGAUAUGUAUCAGUUAGAAUAUUAGCUAAGGAUAUAAGCUUCUUUUAAGAAUAGGGCUUCAAAUUUCUUUGAACGUCCAGAAAGUUUACCUCAUCUUCCUCAUCCUCGUCAGAUUUUCCCAUUAGGGCAAAAAUAGAGUCAUACUCAGCUGCUUCACUUUCUACUACCAUCAUAGAGCUAUAAUCUUGCUCAUCAUCUUCUCUAGAUUCGCUUGAAGAGUCUCCCAAUGCAGCAAGAGCUUGUUUCACAACAUUGUCAGUGACAUCUUUUCUCUUGAAUCUUUUGUCAGGAACCGGGUUCCUCUUGGCUGCUUUGUAUGUGUUGUGUUUGUACUUUUGUUGCUUGUGGAGAGGACAAUCCUGAAUGAAAUAUCCUGGAUUCCCGUAUUUAUGACAUAAGUCAUAGCCUCUUGGCUUGCUAGAGCUGCCCCUUUUUGGAAUACCUCCAUUUCUGCGAACCAUUUUCUGAAAUCUCUUUGUCAGGUACGCCAUAUGAGCAUCCUCACCACUUGAGUCAUUGUUGUCAGUCUUGAGGACCAGGUUCUUCUCCCUUUUGGGCUCUCUUCUCUCAUGAACCUUAUUCUUCUUCUUCAUUUCAUAAGUUUUUAAAUUGUCAAUGAGUUUAUCAAUAGUGAGCUUUUGCAGAUCCUUUGCCUCCGUGAUAGCAUUUACUUUGCUUUCCCAAGAACCAGGCAAUACACUGAGUAUUUUUCUGACAAGCUUGUUCCUUGGAAUUAUUGUCACACCCCUUUUUUAACAGAACCUCACUAACCCUCUUAAAUUAUAUAAAAGGAUUUAGUAAGGCUUGAAAAGGUUUUCCAAUUAGAACGUGACAAAAAUUGUGUUCAGAAGGAAAUAACUCAGAGUCGCCACCUGACAUUGGUUUUGGUGUGCCAGGCCACCGUUUUAAAAAAAUAAUUUUUCCUUUUAAAACACUUAGGAUUCCAAAACUAAGUCUGUACCAGAGAUUCGGGUAAGGGGUUCAUUUGACUCGGGGAGAAGGUAUUAGGCAUUCCCCGAGUCCCCUAACUAGUACGGUUGCGUACUUGAUCUAGGUGGUUUUUAUUGAAUAUUCGAAUUGAGGUAAAAAUAAAAACAUAAAAGCAAAAUAAACACACGCGAGGCUCGAGGCUGUCCCCACCUAAUAAAAUAAAAAUAAAAAUACUACGAUUUCUACUAUCGACCUCCAAAUACAAAUACUUCGGGGCAUACCCCGGAAUAGAAUAGAUACAAAUCUUUCGGGGCAUUCCCCGGAUAAAUUUAACUAAGGGAACAACCUCGAGCCUCGUGUGUGUUUAUUUUUCUUUUAUGUGUUUAUUUUUACCUCAAUAUAUUCUAAAAACCAACUAGAUCGAGUACGCAACCGUACUAGUUAUGGGACUCGGGGAAUGCCUAAUACCUUCUCCCCGAGUCAAAUGAACCCCUUACCCGAAUCUCUGGUACAGACUUAAUUUUGGAGUCCUAAGUGUUUUAAAAGGAAAAAUUAUUUUUUUAAAAACGGUGGCCUGGCACACCAAAACCAAUGUCAGGUGGCGACUUUGAGUUAUUUCCUUCUGAACACAAUUUUUAUCACGUUCUAAUUGGAAAACCCUUUUCAAGCUUUACUAAAUCCUUUUAUAUAAUUUAAGAGGGUUAGUGAGGUUCUGUUAAAAAGGGGGUGUGAGAACAACCUCUUGCCUCGAAACUAACAAAUAUCCUAAAGAUUGCCUACUUAGGUGUGGUCGGCCUAGUCAUGCUCCUAGCGGUCCAAUUAACGAGAGUAAGAAUAAAGAACGACAAAAUUAUAUCAAACUCUAUAUCAAAAACAAUUGAACGAGAGUAACAGAUUCAUCAAUUGAAAUUUCCUAGCUUCAGAUGUUAAAGGCAACCUAAAUCCAUCUUCCUUUUUAACAUAACCCAAUCACAGAUUUCAUGGAAAAUUUCAGCACAAGUUGGUUCGUGUAAAUCCAAACCAAUUGAUGUGAGAAGAAUUAACCAAGCAAAAUAUUAUUAACAUGGAUCAAACAAACAUUUCAACACAAACAACACAUAAGUUUUAAAAAAGAUAAGUUGAGCGGAGAACUGAAUAAUCGGACCUGGAAGAGGGAGUUUCAAUCAAUUCGAUGUUUGUAAAAUAAUACACUUGAAGGCAGUAACUAAAGCUUGACGGAUAGAAGCGUAUUCCACCAAAUGAGCAUCGAAACAGACACUUCAAAACCCGACGACAUUCAACGAGCACCCACGAAUUCAGCACCUUCACUCAUUUGAAUUCCGUCACUUCGAAACUCAAAUCGAAAUCAAAAAAUCAAUAGAGAAAUUUGCUAAGAUUCUGUCCAGAAUUUCCUCUCGAUCUCUGUCUACGGAAACGGGAAAUGGGAAAGUACGCUGGCCGAAAAUUGGAGAGAGGAGGUCGCUCUCUUCCUUGUGUCCCAAGGUUGAAGAAGCAGGGGGUCUUUUGGGCGAGGGUAGCAGUGGGGAUCCGUUUAGAGGUGUUCAAGGCUAGAAGAGGAAGAAGCCAUGGUUGAAGGAGUGAUCUUUUCUGGCUGGUAUUCGAAGAAGAAGAAGAAGCUAGUGGGGGUCGCUACUGUGCUAUGUUGUCGCGGUUGUUUCUGUGUGCAGCGGCGAUGGAUGGCUGGUUUAUUCCAGCUGGUUGUGGCUGUUGAAGAAGGCUACUCCCUUUUCUUGUAUGUCUUUUGUCCGUUGUUGUCUAGAUCAAGAAGAAGAAGAAGCGGUCAUCGAUGUCCUCCAAGUUCUGUCGUUGCUGCUGGUUGCUCAAAAUAAAAGGGGUCGUUAUUUUUGCUGGAAAAAAAAAGAACAAUGGGGUGGAAGGGUUGUGUAUCGUGUUUCUCUGGAGUGACGUUGAUGGUUGUUUUUGGGUCUUGAAGAUGGAAGAUGAAGGCUAGGGUUCUGUGUUUUUCCUUGAAGUAGAUGAAGUGCUGAAAGGUUUUC
rnacentral:lncRNA from 1 species